UCUUGGUCAUUUAGAGGAAGUAAAAGUCGUAACAAGGUCUCCGUUGGUGAACCAGCGGAGGGAUCAUUACCGAGUUUACAACUCCCAAACCCCUAUGUGAACGUUACCAAAAUGUUGCCUCGGCGGGGAAUUCAUUCAUGCCCCGGGCGCGUCGCAGCCCCGGACCAAGGCGCCCGCCGGAGGACCAACCAAAACUCUUUUGUAUGUCCCCUCGCGGACUUUUAUAAUUCUGAACCAUCUCGGCGCCCCUAGCGGGCGUUUCGAAAAUGAAUCAAAACUUUCAACAACGGAUCUCUUGGUUCUGGCAUCGAUGAAGAACGCAGCGAAAUGCGAUAAGUAAUGUGAAUUGCAGAAUUCAGUGAAUCAUCGAAUCUUUGAACGCACAUUGCGCCCGCCAGUAUUCUGGCGGGCAUGCCUGUCCGAGCGUCAUUUCAACCCUCGAACCCCUCCGGGGGUACGGCGUUGGGGAUCGGCCCUUUACGGGGCCGGCCCCGAAAUACAGUGGCGGUCUCGCCGCAGCCUCUCCUGCGCAGUAGUUUGCACACUCGCAUCGGGAGCGCGGCGCGUCCACGUCCGUAAAACACCCAACUUUCUGAAAUGUUGACCUCGGAUCAGGUAGGAAUACCCGCUGAACUUAAGCAUAUCAAUAAGCGGGAGGA
rnacentral:rRNA from 1 species